CCUACGGGUGGCAGCAGUGAGGAAUAUUGGUCAAUGGGCGAGAGCCUGAACCAGCCAAGCCGCGUGAGGGAAGAAGGUACAGCGUAUCGUAAACCUCUUUUGUCAGGGAACAAAGGCUGGUACUAGUCCCCGUAUGCGGGUACCUUAAGAACAAGCAUCGGCUAACUCCGUGCAAGCAGCCGCGGUAAUACGGAGUAUCCGAGCGUUAUCCGGAUUUAGGGGGUUAAAGGGGUGCGCAGGCGACCUGUUAGGUCAGAGGUAAAAGCCCGGGGCUCAACCUCGGCGCGCCGUUGAAACUGGCGGGCUGGAGUUGGAGAGAAGUAAGCGGAAUGCGUGGUGUAGCGGUGAAAUGCUUAGAUAUCGCGCAGAACCCCGAUUGCGAAGGCAGCGUACUGGAUUGAAACUGACGCUGAGGCACGAAAGCGUGGGUAUCGAACAGGAUUAGAUACCCGAGUAGUC
rnacentral:rRNA from 1 species